UGAGGUAGUAGGUUGUAUAGUUUAGAACUACACCUUUAAUGGGCGAACUAUACAGCUUGCUAACUUUCC
rnacentral:pre_miRNA from 1 species